rnacentral:tRNA from 6 species
AUGCCCUUAGCUCAGUUGGAUAGAGCAACAGCCUUCUAAGUUGUAGGUCACAGGUUCAAUUCCUGUAGGGCAUA